GUGCCAGCCGCCGCGGUAAUACGUAGGGCGCAAGCGUUAUCCGGAAUUAUUGGGCGUAAAGAGCUCGUAGGCGGUUUGUCGCGUCUGCUGUGAAAGACCGGGGCUCAACUCCGGUUCUGCAGUGGGUACGGGCAGACUAGAGUGAUGUAGGGGAGACUGGAAUUCCUGGUGUAGCGGUGAAAUGCGCAGAUAUCAGGAGGAACACCGAUGGCGAAGGCAGGUCUCUGGGCAUUAACUGACGCUGAGGAGCGAAAGCAUGGGGAGCGAACAGGAUUAGAAACCCCUGUAGUCC
rnacentral:rRNA from 1 species